AUUGAACGCUGGCGGCAGGCCUAACACAUGCAAGUCGGGCGAGCGGCGGACGGGUGAGUAAUGCUUGGGAAUCUAGCUUAUGGAGGGGGCUAACUACGGGAAACUGUAGCUAAUACCGCGUACCAUAGGAUGAGCCCAAGGGGGAUUAGGUAGUUGGUGAGGUAAAGGCUCACCAAGCCGACGAUCCCUAGCUGGUCUGAGAGGAUGACCAGCCACACUGGGACUGAGACACGGCCCAGACUCCUACGGGAGGCAGGAGUGGGGAAUAUUGCGCAAUGGGGGCAACCUGACGCAGCCAUGCCGCGUGAAUGAAGAAGGUCUUCGGGUUGUAAAGUUCUUUCGGUAGCGAGGCGUUAACUACAGAAGAAGCACCGGCUAACUCCGUGCCAGCAGCCGCGGUAAUAC
rnacentral:rRNA from 1 species